UACAGAGGUCUCAAGCGUUGUUCGGAUUCAUUGGGCGUAAAGGGUGCGUAGGCGGCGCGGUAAGUCGGGUGUGAAAUCUCGGAGCUUAACUCCGAAACUGCAUUCGAUACUGCCGUGCUUGAGGACUGGAGAGGAGACUGGAAUUUACGGUGUAGCGGUGAAAUGAGUAGAGAUCAGGAAGAACAUCGGUGGCGAAGGCGCUCUGCUGGACCAUAACUGACACUCAGGGACGAAAGCUAGGGGAGCGAAUGGG
rnacentral:rRNA from 1 species